AGCUGCUUGGCGCAGCGGAAGCGCGCCGGUAAGAUACCACCUACAACAUCAUUGGUUGGGAAACAUGUCACUAACAUAUCAUCAGGGCUCAUAACCCGGAGGACGCUCGAUCGAAACGAGCAGCAGCUA